GAUCAUGGCUCAGAACACGCUGGCGGCAUGCCUAACACAUGCAAGUCGAACGAUGCCUUCGGGCAUAGUGGCGCACGGGUGCGUAACGCGUGGGAAUCUGCCCUUGGGUUCGGAAUAACUCAGAGAAAUUUGAGCUAAUACCGGAUGAUGACGUAAGUCCAAAGAUUUAUCGCCCAAGGAUGAGCCCGCGUAAGAUUAGCUAGUUGGUGGGUAAAGGCCUACCAAGGCGACGAUCUUUAGCUGGUCUGAGAGGAUGAUCAGCCACACUGGGACUGAGACACGGCCCAGACUCCUACGGGAGGCAGCAGUGGGAAUAUUGGACAAUGGGCGAAAGCCUGAUCCAGCAAUGCCGCGUGAGUGAUGAAGGCCUUAGGGUUGUAAAGCUCUUUUACCAGGGAUGAUAAUGACAGUACCUGGAGAAUAAGCUCCGGCUAACUCCGUG
rnacentral:rRNA from 1 species